GACAGAGGAUGCAAGUGUUAUUCGGAUUGAUUGGGCGUAAAGCGUCUGUAGGCGGUUUAGAAAGUCUUUUGUGAAAUACUUCAGCUCAACUGGGGGGCCGCAAAAGAAACUUCUAGACUUGAGGAAAGUAGAGGUACAGGGAAUUUCCGGUGGAGCGGUGAAAUGCGUAGAUAUCGGAAGGAACACCAAUGGCGAAGGCACUGUACUGGGCUUUAACUGACGCUAAGAGACGAAAGCUAAAGGAGUGAUUAGGAUUAGAUACCCUAGUAAUUUUAGCCGUAAACGAUGGAAACUCACUGCCGAGCCGUAUGGGCGGUGAUCAAGCUAACGCGUGAAGUUUCCCGCCUGGGGAUUACGCAUGCAAAUGUG
rnacentral:rRNA from 1 species